rnacentral:rRNA from 1 species
UACGGGGGGGCAAGCGUUGUUCGGAAUUACUGGGCGUAAAGGGCUCUUAGGUGGCCCACUAAGUCAGACGUGAAAUCCCUCAGCUUAACUGGGGAACUGCGUCUGAUACUGGAUGGCUUGAGUUUGGGAGAGGGAUGCGGAAUUCCAGGUGUAGCGGUGAAAUGCGUAGAUAUCUGGAGGAACACCGGUGGCGAAGGCGGCAUCCUGGACCAACACUGACACUGAGGAGCGAAAGCCAGGGGAGCAAACGGG